CGACCUGAGCUCAGGCAAGGUUACNCGCUGAACUUAAGCAUAUCAUUAAGCGGUGGAAAAGAAACUAACCAGGAUUCCCCUAGUAACGGCGAGCGAACCGGGAAUAGCCCAACUUGAAAAUCUCCCCUUGGAGAAUUGUAGUCUACAGAAGCGCCCUCAUGGGCUGGCGGAACUCAAGUCGGAUCGAAUGCCGCGUCAGAGAGGGUGAUAACCCCGUCGGUUCCUGCCUAGUCCUCUCACGAGGUGCUUUCCACGAGUCGGGUUGUUUGGGAAUGCAGCCCUAAUUUGGAGGUAAAUCCCUUCUAAGGCUAAAUACUGCUGAGAGACCGAUAGCGAACAAGUACCGUGAGGGAAAGAUGAAAAGAACUUUGAAAAGAGAGUUAAAAGUGCUUGAAAUUGUUGAGAGGGAAGCGAUUAGCGCUUGUGUGUGCCCCCAGGCUUAAGUGUGCCUAACGGCCCAUUGAAUGUGCUGGGUGCUGGUCAGAGUGGGUUGUCUUGGCGGGAAAACAGUUGGGUCCACCCCGGUAACCCGGCCGAUGCCGCCGAGAUGACCAAGGCGUGAAGGUUGCUUUGUCCUUCGGGAUCCGCAUCCUAAAGACUCUGGCAGAAAAGCGUUAAUCGACCCGUCUUGAAACACGGACCAAGGAGUCUAACAUGUAUGCGAGUUGGCGGGUUGAAAACCCGUAAGCGCAAGUAACCUGACUGGUGGGAUGGCCUGUGCCUGCACCAUCGACCGACCAUGUUGCUUUUGCGAAAGGUUUGAGUGCGAGCAUACCUGUUGGGACCCGAAAGAUGGUGAACUAUGCCUGAGCAGGGUGAAGCCAGAGUAACCUCUGGUGGAGGCUCGUAGAUGUGCUGACGUGCAAAUCGCUUUUCAGACUUGGGUAUAGGGGCGAAAGACUAAUCGAACCAUCUAGUAGCUGGUUCCCUCCGAAGUUUCCCCCAGGAUAGCUGGAGCUUGAUCAGUUUUAUCGGGUAAAGCGAAUGAUUAGAGGUUCGGGGGAUGAAACAUCCUUCACCUAUUCUCAAACUUUAAAUAGGUAAGACGUGUCGGUUGCUUAACUGAACCGUCACAUUCAAUGUGAGCUCCAAGUGGGCCAUUUUUGGUAAGCAGAACUGGCGAUGCGGGAU
rnacentral:ncRNA from 1 species